rnacentral:rRNA from 1 species
UACGUAGGGUGCGAGCGUUGUCCCGGAAUUAUUGGGCGUAAAGGGCUUGUAGGCGGUUUGUCGCGUCGGGAGUGAAAACUCAGGGCUUAACCCUGAGCCUGCUUCCGAUACGGGCAGACUAGAGGUAUGCAGGGGAGAACGGAAUUCCUGGUGUAGCGGUGAAAUGCGCAGGUAUCAGGAGGAACACCGGUGGCGAAGGCGGUUCUCUGGGCAUUACCUGACGCUGAGGAGCGAAAGUGUGGGGAGCGAACAGG